rnacentral:rRNA from 1 species
UACGUAGGGUGCAGGCGUUAAUCGGAAUUACUGGGCGUAAAGGGUUCGUAGGUGGCUGGCUAAGUCAGACGUGAAAUCCCUCAGCUCAACUGGGGAACUGCGUCUGAGACUGGUCAGCUUGAGUGCAGGAGAGGAACGCGGAAUUCCAGGUGUAGCGGUGAAAUGCGUAGAUAUCGAGAGGAACACCUGCGGCGAAGGCGGGUUGCUGGGCUGACACUGACGCUGAGGCGCGAAAGCUAGGGGAGCGAACGGG